rnacentral:rRNA from 1 species
CACGUAGGGCGCAAGCGUUGUCCGGAAUUAUUGGGCGUAAAGGGCGCGUAGGCGGUUAUGCAAGUGAGAUGUGAAAGCCCUGGGCUUAACCUAGGAAUUGCAUCUUAGACUGUGUAGCUGGAGUACAGUAGAGGGUGGUGGAAUUUCCGGUGUAGCGGUGAAAUGCGUAGAGAUCGGAAGGAACAUCAGUGGCGAAGGCGGCCACCUGGACUGAUACUGACGCUGAGGCGCGAAAGCGUGGGGAGCAAACAGG